UCUAACAGACGUUUCAUUUAGCGUCUUCAGUCUACAUUGCUACAUGAUUCUAAGAUUAAGCUGCAUAAAAAAAUUGAUAAGUUCUGAUUUCUCUCGAAAAUAUUAAUUUUGCAAACAAUGACUACUAAGAGAAGUGAUAGAUGGUGGGCCUUGGUGAAGUGGAUAGGAGGAGAAGAUGAUAAGAAAAUGACAUCUGGCAUAGAUAUACGUCAUAUAAAAGAUUUCGAUGUUAAUAAUUUUUUGGAUGAAAACCACGAUCCAAAAACUGUAUAUGUAAUUGAGUGGAGAGAUACGGUAAAAGAGCCUUUAGGUGGUUGGAAGUGUUACAAUGCCAUAAUUGUUGACAGUUCUCAUUCAAUACCAGCUUUAGAGAAAAAACUUAAAGCUCUUGAGGGCAUCAAGUCACCCGGGCCUUCUCCUAAACCUGAAUCAUUAUUAAUUUAAAUUUCUGAUGAAGAAAACAUUCAGGUCUUACAUGAAGAAGAAGUUGAGAUCGUUAAUAAUGAUACUCUUGAGCCUGAAAACCGUGAAAAUGAUGAAAAUGCUAGGAAAAAAUUAAGAUUUUCAUUAGACUCUGACGCAGAUAAAAAAGAAGAUGAUACAACAAGUACAUUAAAUUUGACAAGUGCUAAGAGUUCCGUAAGUCAGCAACUUAGAGGUUUUCAAAAUCCAUCAACAUCCAGUGAGAUUCCGCAAUUUAUAACCAAAGAAGAUUUAGAGAAAGCACUGGCAAAAAUGAAACAAUGUUAUCGAGUUCCUCAAGAAGCAGGUGUUUCUUCAUCCAAAACUAAAAAAUUUAAAACAAAAGAAAAAAAAGUGGAACUCGGGUACGAAGGAUCGAAUGUUUUCAUUACUGAUGAUCAGUGGAGAGAUGCAAAAAAAAAAAAAUUCAUUUACAUCAAUGGCAACCUCAUUACUUGUUUCAACGUUUUCUCCUAAAGUAUUAUUAAUUAGUAACUACAAAGGAGGAAAAUCAAAAAAUACGGAUGAAAAGGCUCAAAAAUAUCAAGCACUCCAUCCAAAAAUUGUGAAUGCAAUUAAAGGUAUGAUAUAAUUUUUAAAU